AUUGAACGCUGGCGGCAUGCUUUACACAUGCAAGUCGAACGGGCUUGGGGGCUUGCUCCCAAGUUAGUGGCGAACGGGUGAGUAAUACAUCGGAACGUACCGUGUAGUGGGGGAUAACGUAGCGAAAGUUACGCUAAUACCGCAUACGAUCUACGGAUGAAAGCAGGGGACCUUCGGGCCUGGUGCUAUACGAGCGGCCGAUGUCUGAUUAGCUAGUUGGUGAGGUAAAGGCUCACCAAGGCGACGAUCAGUAGCGGGUCUGAGAGGAUGAUCCGCCACACUGGGACUGAGACACGGCCCAGACUCCUACGGGAGGCAGCAGUGGGGAAUUUUGGACAAUGGGCGAAAGCCUGAUCCAGCCAUGCCGCGUGUCUGAAGAAGGCCUUCGGGUUGUAAAGGACUUUUGUCAGGGGGCAAAACUUACUGGUUAAUACCCGGUGAGGCUGAGAGUACCUGAAGAAUAAGCACCGGCUAACUACGUGCCAGCCGCCGCCGUAA
rnacentral:rRNA from 1 species